rnacentral:misc_RNA from 1 species
AAGUCGUAACAAGGUUUCCGUAGGUGAACCUGCGGAAGGAUCAUUAUCGAAUGAAUGUGGGGUCUGGUUGUCGCUGGCCUGCAAAGGCAUGUGCACGCCUCCUCUCUCAUCCACACACCCCUGUGCACUUGUGAGACGGAGGCUUAUCUUCUUCCCUUUUGUUUAGGGAGAGAUCGGUUUCCGUCUGCCAUUAUUAAUACAAGCUCAAUUAAUUUAAUCUGAAUGUAAUUGACGCAACGCGUCUAAUAAAUAUACAAAGUUUCAACAACGGAUCUCUUGGCUCUC